UGCUCUGGUCAGAUCUCAGAGGCUAAGCAGGGCUGAGCCUGGUCAGUACUUGGAUAGGAGACCGCUGGGAAUAACAGGUGCCACAGCGG
rnacentral:rRNA from 1 species